AGAGUUUGAUCCUGGCUCAGGACGAACGCUGGCGGCGCGCCUAACACAUGCAAGUCGAACGAGCGAGAGAGAGCUUGCUUUCUCAAGCGAGUGGCGAACGGGUGAGUAACGCGUGAGGAACCUGCCUCAAAGAGGGGGACAACAGUUGGAAACGACUGCUAAUACCGCAUAAGCCCACGGGUCGGCAUCGACCAGAGGGAAAAGGAGCAAUCCGCUUUGAGAUGGCCUCGCGUCCGAUUAGCUAGUUGGUGAGGUAAUGGCCCACCAAGGCAACGAUCGGUAGCCGGACUGAGAGGUUGAACGGCCACAUUGGGACUGAGACACGGCCCAGACUCCUACGGGAGGCAGCAGUGGGGAAUAUUGCACAAUGGGGGAAACCCUGAUGCAGCGACGCCGCGUGGAGGAAGAAGGUCUUCGGAUUGUAAACUCCUGUUGUUGAGGAAGAUAAUGACGGUACUCAACAAGGAAGUGACGGCUAACUACGUGCCAGCAGCCGCGGUAAAACGUAGGUCACAAGCGUUGUCCGGAAUUACUGGGUGUAAAGGGAGCGCAGGCGGGAAGACAAGUUGGAAGUGAAAUCUAUGGGCUCAACCCAUAAACUGCUUUCAAAACUGUUUUUCUUGAGUAGUGCAGAGGUAGGCGGAAUUCCCGGUGUAGCGGUGGAAUGCGUAGAUAUCGGGAGGAACACCAGUGGCGAAGGCGGCCUACUGGGCACCAACUGACGCUGAGGCUCGAAAGUGUGGGUAGCAAACAGGAUUAGAUACCCUGGUAGUCCACACCGUAAACGAUGAU
rnacentral:rRNA from 1 species